rnacentral:rRNA from 1 species
GUGAGGAAUAUUGCGCAAUGGGGGAAACCCUGACGCAGCGACGCCGCGUGGGUGACGAAGGCCUUCGGGUCGUAAAACCCUGUCGGGAGGAAAGAAAUGCGUUCAAGCCAACACCUUGGACGUUUGACGGUACCUCCAAAGGAAGCACCGGCUAACUCUGUGCCAGCAGCCGCGGUAAUACAGAGGGUGCAAGCGUUGUUCGGAAUUACUGGGCGUAAAGGGCGUGCAGGCGGCUUGUCAAGUCAGAUGUGAAAGCCCACGGCUCAACUGUGGAAGCGCAUUUGAAACUGGCAGGCUUGAGUACCAGAGGGGAAAGUGGAAUUCCCGGUGUAGAGGUGAAAUUCGUAGAUAUCGGGAGGAAUACCGGUGGCGAAGGCGACUUUCUGGCUGGAUACUGACGCUGAGACGCGAAAGCGCGGGGAGCAAACAGG